UUUUUCUUUUCUUUUAUGUUAAAUUGUGCGAAUUUCAGAUCUUUUGACCUUAUAUAUUUUUUAGUGUCUGGAAUCAAUUUUGAGUUCAUUACUAUUUAAUAAAUGUCUUUCCGUCCUAAAAGAAGGUUUGAAUCCGGAGCGCAAAGGAAUCAACCACUUGAGCUACAACUAGGUUACCAACCCAUUUUGGUAGGUUUGUUGCUAUUAAAUACGAGAGUUCUCGUUCUAGUUCCAGAUACAGAUAUGGGCAUCAUGCCAUCUUUAAUCAUUUAUUUUGUGUUUUGAAAUGCAUUACCGUAUACAGGGCCGGUCCUAGCCUAAAACUGGUAAAGGCUUUGCUUUAGGCGCCAAAAAAUAUAUGUAGUACAAAGGGCAUCAAUUUCUGAAAACAUUUUAUAGUGUAGUGGUUAGCUCUAAAUGUAGAUAAUUGUUUUUAUGGUGCAUAGUUUAAAUCUCA
rnacentral:sRNA from 1 species